rnacentral:rRNA from 1 species
AUACGUAGGUGCCAAGCGUUAUCCGGAUUUACUGGGCGUAAAGGGCGUGUAGGCGGUCUUGCAAGUCAGAAGUGAAAUUCCUGAGCUCAACUCGGGCGCUGCUUCUGAAACUGCAGGACUUGAGUGCUGGAGGGGAUAGCGGAAUUCCUAGUGGAGCGGUAAAAUGCGCAGAUAUUAGGAAGAACACCGGUGGCGAAGGCGGCUAUAUGGACAGUAACUGACGCUGAGGCGCGAAAGCGUGGGGAGCAAACAGGAUUAGAUACCCUGAUAGUCCACGCCGUAAACGAUGUAUGCUGGGUGUGGGAGUAUCGAUACCUCCGUGCCGAAGUUAACGCGAUAAGCAUACCGCCUGGGGAGUACGGUCGCAAGAUUGAAACUCAAAUGAAUUGACGGGG